rnacentral:rRNA from 1 species
AAUCUUGCGCAAUGGCCGAAAGGCUGACGCAGCGACGCCGCGUGUGGGAUGAAGCAUUUCGGUGUGUAAACCACUGUUGCCCGGGACGAACAACCUGUUUCGACAGGUCUGACGGUACCGGGUGAGGAAGCACCGGCUAACUCCGUGCCAGCAGCCGCGGUAAUACGGAGGGUGCGAGCGUUGUCCGGAAUCACUGGGCGUAAAGCGCGUGUAGGCGGAUGGGCAAGUCUGCUGUGAAAGCUCCCGGCUUAACUGGGAGAGGUCGGUGGAAACUGCCAAUCUGGAGGACGGUAGAGGUAGGUGGAAUUCCCGGUGUAGUGGUGAAAUGCGUAGAGAUCGGGAGGAACACCUGUGGCGAAGGCGGCCUACUGGGCCGGACCUGACGCUGAGACGCGAAGGCGUGGGGAGCGAAC